rnacentral:ncRNA from 1 species
CUAUAUAUUGCGUCCGUCGGUAUUUUUCUGCUGAGCACCAGCAGAAAGAUUGAAAAGGGAAUCCGGUGCGAAUCCGGAACUGCCCCGCAGCGGUAAGUGGAAACGACACGCCUCAGAUGCACUGGGUACGACCCGGGAAGCGAGGCGCAGUAGGUGGGCUGGCGUGAACGACGCCACCCGCGUCCACAGAGUCCGAAGACCUGCCGACACAUGGUGCUUCUUC